rnacentral:rRNA from 1 species
UACGUAGGGUGCAAGCGUUAUCCGGAAUUAUUGGGCGUAAAGAGCUCGUAGGCGGUUUGUCGCGUCUGCUGUGAAAACCCGAGGCUCAACCUCGGGCCUGUAGUGGGUACGGGCAGACUAGAGUGCGGUAGGGGAGAUUGGAAUUCCUGGUGUAGCGGUGAAAUGCGCAGAUAUCAGGAGGAACACCGGUGGCGAAGGCGGGUCUCUGGGCCGAAAUUGACGCUGAGGAGCGAAAGCGUGGGGAGCAAACAGG